UACGAAGGGGGCUAGCGUUGUUCGGAAUCACUGGGCGUAAAGCGCACGUAGGCGGACUUUUAAGUCAGGGGUGAAAUCCCGGGGCUCAACCCCGGAACUGCCUUUGAUACUGGAAGUCUUGAGUCCGAGAGAGGUGAGUGGAACUCCGAGUGUAGAGGUGAAAUUCGUAGAUAUUCGGAAGAACACCAGUGGCGAAGGCGGCUCACUGGCUCGGUACUGACGCUGAGGUGCGAAAGCGUGGGGGAGCAAAACAGGAUUAGAUACCCGGCGUAAGUC
rnacentral:rRNA from 1 species